GACGAACUCUGGCGGCGUGCCUAAUACAUGCAAGUAGAACGCAGUUGCGAACGGGUGAGUAACGCGUAGGUAACUGCCUGGUAGCGGGGGACAACUAUUGGCAACGAUAGCUAAUACUGCAUCCUACCAGAUCGACCUGCGAUGUAUUCGCUAGUUGGUGGGGUAACGGCUCACCAAGGCAACGAUACAUAGCCGACCUGAGAGGGUGAUCGGCCACACUGGGACUGGGACACGGCCCAGACUCCUACGGGAGGCAGCAGGAGGGAAUCUUCGGCAAUGGACGGAAGUCUGACCGAGCAACGCCGCGUGAGUGAAGAAGGUUUUCGGAUCGUAAAGCUCUGUUGUAAGAGAAGCGGUAUCUUACCAGAAAGGGACGGCUAACUACGUGCCAGCAGCCGCGGUAAUUC
rnacentral:rRNA from 1 species